UCUGGUGGUUCGGCGCUAUGGAAACACCCGUUCCCAUUCCGAACACGGAAGUGAAACGUAGUUGCGGCGAUGAUAGUCCUAUGGGCGAAAGUAGCUAGCCGCCAGUA
rnacentral:rRNA from 1 species